rnacentral:rRNA from 1 species
GCAGAAGGUCCUGGGUGCCCUAACGAGAUGGAUCCCGUCUGAUCUCCGAAGCUAAGCAGGGUCGGGCCUGGUUAGUACUUGGAUGGGAGACGACCUAGGAAGACCAGGUGCUGUAGGCA